AUUGAACGCUGGCGGCAGGCUUAACACAUGCAAGUCGAGCGGAGAUGAGGUGCUUGCACCUUAUCUUAGCGGCGGACGGGUGAGUAAUGCUUAGGAAUCUGCCUAUUAGUGGGGGACAACAUUCCGAAAGGAAUGCUAAUACCGCAUACGUUCUACGGGAGAAAGCAGGGGAUCUUCGGACCUUGCGCUAAUAGAUGAGCCUAAGUCGGAUUAGCUAGUUGGUGGGGUAAAGGCCUACCAAGGCGACGAUCUGUAGCGGGUCUGAGAGGAUGAUCCGCCGCACUGGGACUGAGACACGGCCCAGACUCCUACGGGAGGCAGCAGUGGGGAAUAUUGGACAAUGGGGGGAACCCUGAUUCAGCCAUGCCGCGUGUGUGAAGAAGGCCUUAUGGUUGUAAAGCACUUUAAGCGAGGAGGAGGCUACUGAGACUAAUACUCUUGGAUAGUGGUCGUUACUCGCAGAAUAAGCACCGGCUAACUCUGUGCCAGCCGCCGCGGUAACAC
rnacentral:rRNA from 1 species